GUGUCAAACCAGCCGCUAGCUAGCCUGACAAGCCAGACCCAGAUCAAGAUGUUAGGUCUGGGAGCUCCCCAUUGGCAGGGCUCAAUCUGAGGGGCGGGAUAAACAGUUGUCUUUCAAAUUCCCUCUGCAC